UACGUAGGGGGCAAGCGUUGUCCGGAUUUAUUGGGCGUAAAGAGCGUGUAGGCGGCUGGGUAGGUCCGUUGUGAAAACUCGAGGCUCAACCUCGAGACGCCGAUGGAAACCCUCCAGCUAGAGUCCGGAAGAGGAGAGCGGAAUUCCUGGUGUAGCGGUGGAAUGCGCAGAUAUCAGGAGGAACACCCGUGGCGAAGGCGGCUCUCUGGGACGGUACUGACACUGAGACGCGAAAGCGUGGGGAGCGAACAGG
rnacentral:rRNA from 1 species